GGGGCUGCCGGGGCCGCGGCCCCACCGGGGGCUGCAGGACGGUGCCGGGGGAGCCGGGAGCCCUGUGCCCAGGCCAGCGCUCCGCCGUGCGCGCCCCGGCACAAACGCGGGCAGCGCGCAGAGCAGGAGGCGGCUGUGUCUGCUUGGCGUUUUUUGGAGAGGGUUGUUCCCUUCCCGCCCUGCUGCAGCCGGCAGCUCAGCCCUGGCAGAGGCGAUGGGCUCAGAACAAAGACCUGAGGGUCCUCUGUGCCAGUCCCACUGUCUCUGGGUCUAAGAGCUGCGGUGAGCUGUCCUGGAGAACUCGGGAGCAGCCAGAACUCCUCAUUACAGCUGUAUUUGGCUUGCCUUCCCCUAAAGGUUUUUGCUUUUUCAAGGUGUAUGGACCUUAGAUGAGUUUCUGCAUGAGGUUUCUCUACGUGUCUUUCAGUCCGUGCUUCCAGUGCUUUCCAGAGCUCCUCUUUUUGCAGGUGAUGCUUUUUCCUUUGUGCCUUUCACAGUCCCAUGCAGUGUCUGAGCUCGUGCCCUUGAGCAGUGCUGUAGUUUCACCACGAAGCGUGGGCGAUACAGCGAUACAGCUGCUGCUACAGGAGCAUUCAGUGUGCUUCGGUUCUCCGCUGGAUGGUGCUUUCAUGUAUUGCCUGGGAUAUCAGGAUGAUUUGCAGGAAAUCUUCUGACCCAUUCAUAUUGCUGCAUUGCAAAGCGAACGGUUUGAUAACAGAAACUCCGGUGGUAGAGAUGCGGGUCUCCUCGGCCCGCUGGGACGACGCGCUGGGUGCUCCGGCAGUUUGUCCGUCACCAGUCCCCAGCAAACAUUAAAAUACCGCAGCCUAUAACGGGCUGAUCAGCGAAUAACUAAAAUCUGUCUGCAGAAGUGAAGCUCAGCCAGUUUGGCUCAGCACGCGGAACCCGCCAGGCGCUGGUCACGGUUGCGAUGCGGUUACAGGUUGGCGAAUGCAGGUUAUUGCCGGUAAACUUGGUCAAGUGUGACUUACCUGACAUUUUGGUUAAAAUACACACACACAAACCAAACCUC